AUUGAACGCUGGCGGCAUGCCUUACACAUGCAAGUCGAACGGCAGCACGGACUUCGGUCUGGUGGCGAGUGGCGAACGGGUGAGUAAUGUAUCGGAACGUACCAUUGAGUGGGGGAUAACGUAGCGAAAGUUGCGCUAAUACCGCAUAUUCUGUGAGCAGGAAAGCAGGGGACCGCAAGGCCUUGCGCUCUUUGAGCGGCCGAUGUCAGAUUAGCUAGUUGGUGAGGUAACGGCUUACCAAGGCGACGAUCUGUAGCGGGUCUGAGAGGAUGAUCCGCCACACUGGAACUGAGACACGGUCCAGACUCCUACGGGAGGCAGCAGUGGGGAAUUUUGGACAAUGGGCGCAAGCCUGAUCCAGCCAUGCCGCGUGAGUGAAGAAGGCCUGGUU
rnacentral:rRNA from 1 species